AUUGAACGCUGGCGGCAGGCUUAACACAUGCAAGUCGAGCGGGGGAAGGUAGCUUGCUACCGGACCUAGCGGCGGACGGGUGAGUAAUGCUUAGGAAUCUGCCUAUUAGUGGGGGACAACAUCUCGAAAGGGAUGCUAAUACCGCAUACGUCCUAUGGGGGAAAGCAGGGGAUCUUCGGACCUUGCGCUAAUAGAUGAGCCUAAGUCGGAUUAGCUAGUUGGUGGGGUAAAGGCCUACCAAGGCGACGAUCUGUAGCGGGUCUGAGAGGAUGAUCCGCCGCACUGGGACUGAGACACGGCCCAGACUCCUACGGGAGGCAGCAGUGGGGAAUAUUGGACGAUGGGGGGAACCCUGAUCCAGCCAUGCCGCGUGUGUGAAGAAGGCCUUAUGGUUGUAAAGCACUUUAAGCGAGGAGGAGGCUACUUUAGUUAAUACCUAGAGAUAGUGGACGUUACUCGCAGAAUAAGCACCGGCUAACUCUGUGCCAGCCGCCGCCGUAA
rnacentral:rRNA from 1 species